GAAAUGCGAUAAGUAGUGUGAAUUGCAGACUUUAGUGAAUCAUCGAAUCUUUGAACGCACAUUGCGCCCCUUGGUAUUCCACUGGGCAUGCCUGUUCGAGCGUCAUUUGACCCCUCAAGCCCCGCUUGGUGUUGGGCGUCUGUCCUGCGCGCCCGCGCGGACUCGCCCCAAAGGCAUUGGCAGCGGCCCCGUCGGCUCCUCGCGUAGCACAUUGCGCUCCGGGGGCCCCCGGGGCUCGCGUCCACAAGAUCACCAUCUUUGACCUCGAAUCAGGUAGGGAUACCCGCUGAACUUAA
rnacentral:misc_RNA from 1 species